UUCUCUCUCUAUACAAAUAUAUCUCUCUCCCUGUUUCUCUCUCUAGAAACCCUGUUAGGGUUUGAGGGUGAGAUAUGUAUGGCAGCUUUCACCCAUCAUACCCAAAGAUAGAGGAAUUGGUUGUCUUUGUAUUCUUCCACAGCUUUCUUGAACUGCAUCAUCAAUAUAUCAUACCUGAUUCAGUAGUUGCGGUUCAAUAAAGCUGUGGGAAGAUACAGAGAGGAUCAAAGAAAAAUGAAAAUUUCAACAUCAGAUUUGGUAUUAUUUGCAUGGUUUCCUGAUCUGUCCUAUAUAUCGUACUAUAAGAUGGGCUGAUUUGUGUCAUCUCUAUUGGUACUUCAUGGUACACCAUAGCGUUUGAUAUGGGGGAGAUCCAAUAGAUUUUUUUGCAGGUACAUAUUGUGGAUGUUUACUUUUAAUUUUAUUUUGUUUUAUCAGUCUAAUUUUCAAUGAAGAGUUACAUAAUUUUUUUUUCCUCCAAACUUCUACUGAUUUGAUUUGAUUUAAUCUUAUCAGGUAAACAGAAUUCUUGGAAUUGGUUGAGUUAAAGUUUGGUGAUUAAUGUAAACAAUGAUCAGUUACAUAUGUAGUCCUUUUUUUGGUUGAUUUAAUGUGUUCAUGUUGUCAAUGCUAGCAAAAAGAAUUAUUGGAGUUGUUUUUUACCAUGAUCAGUGAGUGAUAAUCUGUUUUAUAGAUGCCGUCUAUGAUGCAAUUUAUUCUCUCAUACACACACCCCUACCCAGCUACAAAAUAUCUACUCACUUAACAAAUUAAAUUUACCCUUCAAAUAUAUAUAUAUAUAUAUGUGGUAAAUUUUCUCUCCCCUCCAUGAAUAUAUACAAAUCCAAAUGAUGGGAAGGAUUCAGUGAAUGGCUAUGACUGUAGAGGGAAUAUUGGUUAAUUCCUUUGUAAAUGAUAUAUUUUUGUCUUUCUUUUCAUAUUCUAAUGCAAGGUUUUUCUUUAGGUUCCAUUGCAGCCAAAAGAUGAACUGGCUCAGGUAUGUGCAUGACUACCAUCAAAUAUUCCAAAAUAACAUGUCACCAACUCCUUCAUCUAGGAAGCAAUUAAUUAUAGCUGUCAUUUAUAAUUUAGAAAAGAAAGAAAGCUUAACUCAAAGCAUGUGUUACUCCAUAAGUGAGCAUGACUGAAAUUUUCACUAAUAUUAAUUUACCAGUUUUGUGCAUUUUUUGUGGGCACAAGAAGAAUGAACAAUUUCCUUGUAUUGAAUGUUACAUGGACAACAAGGGCUGGCAUUGCCUUUUCUCCUAUGGAACUCCCCACCAACUUAUUUCAACCAAAUUUUAAAGCCAUUCAUAUGAAACCUACAAAGUUUAGGUAAAGCUUUUUAUGAAAAAAGAAUAUAACAUAACUAUCUGGUUAGUCUGACAAACUAAUUGUUCUUUUCACCUCGGGAUAAAAAAAAAACCCAGUUGAACUUUAAAAGUUUUGCAGAAGAGAAACUAGUACAAGAAAAAUUAGGGUUUUUCUUAGUCAUAGUAACAACAACUAUGUUGGAAAAAACUGCUGGUCUAGAUUACUGCAAGAAACAUAUGGUUGUCAUGUUAUGACUAUGAUGCAUGCAUUAAGAUCAGAUUAUGGGCUUUGUUUUGUUCUUUUUUUUUUUUUUUUUCUCAGUAAACAUGGUUUUUCUGUUUGGAUUCUAUUUAAAACAUGGUUUUUCUGUUUGGAUUCUAUUUAAAACAUGGUUUUAUUAAGAAUCAUACCAAGACCUGUGCCCAAAAAAGGGGAAAAAAAAGAAGUUACUUCCAUAGAAAGCUUUGUGUUUGAUUACAAGUAUUCUGCAUUAAGUGGCCGUUUGGGUGUUUGUAUAUUUAAACUUGUAUAGCUGUAUUUACAGAGGCGACUGGGAUGUAAACUUAGCUGGAUUGGCAGAGCUCUAACAGCAGCAAUCAGAAUCCAUACAUGGGCCACUGUUUAUUGUUUUAUGAAGAUAUGAAGAUGUUACAUCUUAAUCUUCUUUUAUCCUCCCUUUGAUAAGAAGAAGGGUGGAAGGAAAAUAGGAGGGAAAGAACAAAGUUUCUUUAUUCGGUAAGAAAGAGACACAGAGAGGGGAAAAUAGGAAGGAUAACUCAUCCCUCCUUUACAAAUAUUCAUCCGCUCAAUCCGCCCAAAUUUGUGCGGAAGACAUGAGAGAAAACAAACGCAAAACCCUAUCAAGAAGAACUCCCAAUCUCUCCGCGUCUUGCUAUCACCCUAUACAUAUACAUAGAUCCACAUAUAAAUAUGAUCAAAUAUAAAUAUGAUGAAUUUAUGCUAUCACUCUAUACAUAUACGAUCCACAUAUAAAUAUGAUCAAUCAGUUUAUUAAUGUCCGCAGUUUUUAUACACUGAUUUGAUUCAUGUGAUGUUUUUAUACACUGAUUUGAUUCAUGUGAUAUACACAUAUAAAUAUGAUCAAUCAGUUUAUUAAUGUCCGCAGUUUUUAUACACUGAUUUGAUUCAUGUGAUAUAUAUAUAUAUAUGAGUCGAAGAAAAUUGGAAACGAAUGAAUCAAAGUGGCUGCCAACGUAUUCCGGUAAGGACCUUUCAAUUGGAGCAUUAUUUGUUUGAUUCAAUUCCCCAAGGAUGUUUCCAAUACCGCUACUCCGGCUGAAACAAUUGUAGCUCUUACACAAGCUAUUUCUUAACCUUGUUCUGUGCCCCUUUUAAUUUACAAGAAUCAUUUUAAUGGAGUGUAGAAUUAUUAAAA